rnacentral:rRNA from 1 species
GAUGAACGCUGGCGGCGUGCCUAAUACAUGCAAGUCGAGCGAACGGACGAGAAGCUUGCUUCUCUGAUGUUAGCGGCGGACGGGUGAGUAACACGUGGAUAACCUACCUAUAAGACUGGGAUAACUUCGGGAAACCGGAGCUAAUACCGGAUAAUAUUUUGAACCGCAUGGUUCAAAAGUGAAAGACGGUCUUGCUGUCACUUAUAGAUGGAUCCGCGCUGCAUUAGCUAGUUGGUAAGGUAACGGCUUACCAAGGCAACGAUGCAUAGCCGACCUGAGAGGGUGAUCGGCCACACUGGAACUGAGACACGGUCCAGACUCCUACGGGAGGCAGCAGUAGGGAAUCUUCCGCAAUGGGCGAAAGCCUGACGGAGCAACGCCGCGUGAGUGAUGAAGGUCUUCGGAUCGUAAAACUCUGUUAUUAGGGAAGAACAUAUGUGUAAGUAACUGUGCACAUCUUGACGGUACCUAAUCAGAAAGCCACGGCUAACUACGUGCCAGCAGCCGCGGUAAUACGUAGGUGGCAAGCGUUAUCCGGAAUUAUUGGGCGUAAAGCGCGCGUAGGCGGUUUUUUAAGUCUGAUGUGAAAGCCCACGGCUCAACCGUGGAGGGUCAUUGGAAACUGGAAAACUUGAGUGCAGAAGAGGAAAGUGGAAUUCCAUGUGUAGCGGUGAAAUGCGCAGAGAUAUGGAGGAACACCAGUGGCGAAGGCGACUUUCUGGUCUGUAACUGACGCUGAUGUGCGAAAGCGUGGGGAUCAAACAGGAUUAGAUACCCUGGUAGUCCACGCCGUAAACGAUGAGUGCUAAGUGUUAGGGGGUUUCCGCCCCUUAGUGCUGCAGCUAACGCAUUAAGCACUCCGCCUGGGGAGUACGACCGCAAGGUCGAAACUCAAAGGAAUUGACGGGGACCCGCACAAGCGGUGGAGCAUGUGGUUUAAUUCGAAGCAACGCGAAGAACCUUACCAAAUCUUGACAUCCUUUGACAACUCUAGAGAUAGAGCCUUCCCCUUCGGGGGACAAAGUGACAGGUGGCGCAUGGUUGUCGUCAGCUCGUGUCGUGAGAUGUUGGGUUAAGUCCCGCAACGAGCGCAACCCUUAAGCUUAGUUGCCAUCAUUAAGUUGGGCACUCUAAGUUGACUGCCGGUGACAAACCGGAGGAAGGUGGGGAUGACGUCAAAUCAUCAUGCCCCUUAUGAUUUGGGCUACACACGUGCUACAAUGGACAAUACAAAGGGCAGCGAAACCGCGAGGUCAAGCAAAUCCCAUAAAGUUGUUCUCAGUUCGGAUUGUAGUCUGCAACUCGACUACAUGAAGCUGGAAUCGCUAGUAAUCGUAGAUCAGCAUGCUACGGUGAAUACGUUCCCGGGUCU